rnacentral:rRNA from 1 species
GUUUACGACCAUACCAGCCCAAGAACGCCCGGUCUCGUCUGAUCUCGGAAGCUAAGAAGGCUAGGGCCUGGUUAGUAAAUGAAUAGCAGACCUCCUGGGAAUACCAGGUGCUAUAAGCU